CGGGGCGCAGCAGCAGUGGGGAAUAUUGCACAAUGGAGGAAACUCUGAUGCAGCAACGCCGCGUGGAGGAUGACACUUUUCGGAGCGUAAACUCCUUUUAUAUAGGAAGAAGAUGACGGUACUAUAUGAAUAAGCGCCGGCUAACUCCGUGCCAGCAGCCGCGGUAAUACGGAGGGCGCAAGCGUUACUCGGAAUCACUGGGCGUAAAGAGCGUGUAGGCGGAUUAAAAAGUCAGAAGUGAAAUCCUAUAGCUUAACUAUAGAACUGCUUCUGAAACUCUUAAUCUAGAAUAUGGGAGAGGUAGAUGGAAUUUCUGGUGUAGGGGUAAAAUCCGUAGAGAUCAGAAGGAAUACCGAUUGCGAAGGCGAUCUACUAGAACAUUAUUGACGCUGAGACGCGAAAGCGUGGGGAGCAAACAGGAUUAGAUACCCUUGUAGUC
rnacentral:rRNA from 1 species